rnacentral:rRNA from 1 species
UACAGAGGUCUCAAGCGUUGUUCGGAUUCAUUGGGCGUAAAGGGUGCGUAGGUGGUGACGCAAGUCUGGUGUGAAAUCUCGGAGCUCAACUCCGAAAUUGCACCGGAUACUGCGUGACUCGAGGACUGUAGAGGAGAUCGGAAUUCACGGUGUAGCAGUGAAAUGCGUAGAUAUCGUGAGGAAGACCAGUUGCGAAGGCGGAUCUCUGGGCAGUUCCUGACACUGAGGCUCGAAAGCUAGGGGAGCAAACGGG